rnacentral:rRNA from 1 species
UACGUAGGUGGCAAGCGUUGUCCGGAUUUACUGGGCGUAAAGAGCGCGCAGGCGGUCGUUCAAGUCGCGUGUGAAAGCCCCCGGCUCAACUGGGGAGGGUCACGCGAUACGUGAUCGACUCGAAGGCAGGAGAGGGUAGUGGAAUUCCCGGUGUAGUGGUGAAAUGCGUAGAUAUCGGGAGGAACACCAGUGGCGAAGGCGGCGCGCUGGGACGGUACUGACGCUAAGGCGCGAAAGCGUGGGGAGCGAACAGG